AAAGGGUCAAGGAUAGGCAGGUAAUUCAGUAAGUCGGUCAGGUCUGAAAAGAAGCAGCCGUAAUGAGCUUUCUUGGGUUGUUCUUGACCUUAUUAU
rnacentral:SRP_RNA from 1 species